rnacentral:rRNA from 1 species
CAUCCUGAGCCAGGAUCCUUUCUAAGCAAGGAGAGGGCGUUCCUAGCGGCAAACGGGUGAGUAACACGUGGGCAACCUACCCUGUCGUGGGGAAUAAGCUCGGGAAACCGGGUCUAAUGCCGCAUGUGGUCGCCGAAGGCGUCUUCGGUGAAGAAAGCAGCAAUGCGCGACGGGAUGGGCCCGCGGCCUAUCAGCUUGUUGGUGGGGUAACGGCUCACCAAGGCAAUGACGGGUAGCUGGUCUGAGAGGAUGAUCAGCCACACGGGGACUGAGACACGGCCCCGACUCCUACGGGAGGCAGCAGUUUGGAAUCUUCAGCAAUGGGCGAAAGCCUGACGGAGCGACACCGCGUGUGGGAUGAAGACCUUCGGGUUGUAAACCACUGUCGGAGGGGACGAGAAUGGACGGUACCCUCCAAGAAAGCCCCGGCUAACUACGUGCCAGCAGCCGCGGUGAUACGUAGGGGGCGAGCGUUACCCGGAUUUACUGGGCGUAAAGCGCGUGUAGGCGGCUGGUCAAGCGUGAUGUGAAAUCCCCUGGCUCAACCAGGGAACUGCAUUGCGAACUGGCCUGGCUAGAGUGCAGGAGAGGGUGGCGGAAUUCCCGGUGUAGCGGUGAAAUGCGUAGAUAUCGGGAGGAACACCAGUGGCGAGGGCGGCCACCUGGCCUGUAACUGACGCUGAGACGCGAAAGCGUGGGGAGCGAACCGGAUUUGAUACCCGGGUAGUCCACGCCUUAAACUUUGCGAACUAGGUGUUGGCGAGAUUGACCUUGUCAGUGCCGCAGCUAACGCAUUAAGUUCGCCGCCUGGGAAGUACGGUCGCAAGAUUAAAACUCAAAGGAAUAGGCGGGGGCCCGCACAAGCAGCGGAGCGUGUUGUUUAAU